UAAGGAAUAUUGCUCAAUGGGAGAAAUCCUGAAGCAGCAACGUCGCGUGGAGGAUGAAGGGUCUAUGACUUGUAAACUCCUGUAAAGAAGGAAAAAAUUCCCAUUAGAUGGGAGAUGAUGGUACUUCUGGAGUAAGCCCCGGCUAACUACGUGCCAGCAGCCGCGGUAAUACGUAGGGGGCAAGCGUUGUCCGGAUUUACUGGGUGUAAAGGGUGCUCAGGCGGAUUUGUAAGUCAGAGGUGAAAUCUUACAGCUUAACUGCGAAACUGCCUUUGAUACUGCAAGCCUAGAGUAUGGAAGAGAGUGAUGGAAUAUCUGGUGUAGCAGUGAAAUGCGUAGAUAUCAGAUAGAACACCAAUGGCGAAGGCAGUCACUUGGUCCAUUACUGACGCUAAAGCACGAAAGCGUGGGUAGCAAACA
rnacentral:rRNA from 1 species